CCUUCGGGAUGCAUCAGUAAGGAAUAUUGGGCAAUGGGCGGGAGCCUGACCCAGCCAUGCCGCGUGCAGGAAGACGGCCCUAUGGGUUGUAAACUGCUUUUAUACGGGAAUAAAUUUGGGUACGUAUACGUAAUUGCAAGUACUGUAAGAAUAAGCAUCGGCUAACUCCGUGCCAGCAGCCGCGGUAAUACGGAGGAUGCGAGCGUUAUUCGGAUUUAUUGGGUUUAAAGGGUGCGCAGGUUGAUAUAUAAGUCAGUGGUGAAAUUCCCCGGCUCAACCUGGGGACUGCCGUCGAUACUGUAUAUCUUGAGUGUAGUGGGCGUUGGCGGAAUGUGUCAUGUAGCGGUGAAAUUCAUAGAGAUGACACAGAACACCGAUAGCGAAGGCAGCUGUCGAUACUUACCCUGACGCUCAUGCACGAGAGCGUGGGGAUCAAACAGGAUUAGAUACCCGAGUAGUCC
rnacentral:rRNA from 1 species